GACAGAGGUGCCAAGCGUUAGGCGGAAUCACUGGGCUUAAAGCGUGUGUAGGCGGGCGAUCUAGUACCUUGUGAAAUCCCACGGCUCAACCGUGGAACUGCUGGGUAUACUGGUUGUCUUGAGCCAGCUAGGGGCGAGCGGAACAAACGGUGGAGCGGUGAAAUGCGUAGAUAUCGGGAAGAACACCCGUGGCGAAGGCGGCACUCUGGGACGGUACUGACGCUGAGACGCGAAAGCGUGGGGAGCGAACAGG
rnacentral:rRNA from 1 species